rnacentral:rRNA from 1 species
AACGAACGCUGGCGGCAGGCCUAAACAUGCAAGUCGAGCGCCCAGCAAUGGGAGCGGCGGACGGGUGAGUAACACGUGGGAAUGUACCUUUCGGUGCGGAACAACUCAGGGAAACUUGAGCUAAUGCCGCAUGCGCCCUUACGGGGAAAGAUUUAUCGCCGAAAGAUCAGCCCGCGUUGGAUUAGCUUGUUGGUGAGGUAAUGGCUCACCAAGGCGACGAUCCAUAGCGGUUUGAGAGAACGACCAGCCACAUUGGGACUGAGACGCGGCCCAGACUCCUACGGGAGGCAGCAGUUGGGAAUCUUGGACAAUGGGGGAAACCCUGAUCCAGCCAUGCCGCGUGAGUGAUGAAGGCCUUCGAGUUAG